rnacentral:misc_RNA from 1 species
AAUUAUCAACUUCUGAAACUUUUGUGACAGAAGCUUGGAUUUGGAGGUCGUGUCGGCUUGCAAAAGUCGACUCCUCUGAAAUGCAUUAGCGUGAACCUUACGGAUCGCCUUCAGUGUGAUAAUUAUCUGCGCUGUGGUGUGAAGUAUCUUAUGUUCUUGCUUCUAACCGUCCGCAAGGACACUUACUUGACA